AGACAUCAGAUAAAUCUGUGCU
rnacentral:miRNA from 9 species